CAAGGCUAGGGAACGAACCCGCAUCUUCAUGGAUACUGAUCGGAUUCUUUUCCUCUGCCCAGGAACUUCUCAUUCCACUUUAAAUUGUUUCUAGAAGUUUAAGGAUAAGAGUUGGGAUUGAAGAAGUAGCAAGCAAAGCAGACAAGUGGAGGAAAGCUGUUGAAGUACCGUGGAAAUGAUGGAGGGUACCCUGUGAUAAGAAUCAGCAACAACCGGAGGUUGAGUCACUCCUGGUGGCCAGCCAGAAAGAAAAUGGAACCUCAGUCCUACAACCUCAAGGAUCUAAACUCAGCCAACAACCUGAAUGAAGUUGGAAGUGGAUUCUUCCUUAGAACCUUCAGAAAGAACAUAGGCUGGCUGGCAGCUUGGUUUCAGCCUAAUGAUAUUCUGAUCAGAGAGAACCUUGCAUAUCAAGCUGGACUUCUGAAAUAUAGAAUUCUUUGGACCAAGACUGAACACCCAGAAGAGCUGCAGUGGCAGCAUGGACAGCCCAGAUCCUGAGAGAAGUGUCUCUUUUUCCCUACAGUAAGAGGAACGGAGUUACUUUGACCAGAAGAAAGAGCAUUCUGGAGAUAAGGGAGCUGGGAGAGUUGAGAACUGGCAGUUCAAAAGGAUAUUGCUGAAGCUAUAGUCACAAGCAUGGUUGGGAAAAGAAGCAUGGCUGAGAGAGCACAGAGAUGGAAACCUCAGGAUAAAAUUCAGUGGCCGAAGGCUGAGUGAAGUUUACGUUAGCUGUGGUUAUGAAGCGGGUGAGUGACUGAACCUCUGUUUCUCUUUUGUUUAUUUUGUCUUGUGCUAGCUUUUAUACACCAUAAAAUAAAAAAGGCAUAAUCUUGCCUUCAUAGUUAACAUAUAGAUUUGUUUGCCUGGUGGCACAGUGGGUUAAGGAUUUGGCAUUGUCACUGUGGUG